GUAGGCGAACAUGUGUCUAGUUCACGGUGUCAUUUAAAGUUUCGUGACUAGAUUACAUGCUCGUCUAUA
rnacentral:pre_miRNA from 1 species